rnacentral:rRNA from 1 species
UACGUAGGGUGCGAGCGUUGUCCGGAAUUAUUGGGCGUAAAGAGCUCGUAGGUGGCGGGCCACGUCGGGUGUGAAAGCCCGGGGCUUAACUCCGGGUCUGCAUUCGAUACGGGUCUGCUGGGGUCCGGCAGGGGAGACUGGAAUUCCUGGUGUAGCGGUGAAAUGCGCAGAUAUCAGGAGGAACACCGGUGGCGAAGGCGGGUCUCUGGGCCGGUACCGACGCUGAGGAGCGAAAGCGUGGGGAGCGAACAGG